GCUUAGCCAUAAACACAGACAACUACAAACACAACGUUGUCCGCCAGAGGACUACAAGCGAAAAACUCGAAACUCCAAGGACUUGGCGGUGCUCCACACCAGCCUAGAGGAGCCUGUCCUAUAAUCGAUACCCCACGUUAGACCUUACCACCUUUUGCCAACCAGCCUAUAUACCGCCGUCGUCAGCCUACCCUGUGAAAGAACCAACAGUAGGCACAACAGUUAUUAACUAGCACGUCAGGUCAAGGUGUAGCACAUAAGGUGGAAGAGAUGGGCUACAUUUUCUGCCACAGAACAAACGAACGGCACAAUGAAACACGUACCCGAAGGUGGAUUUAGCAGUAAGACAGACAAGAAAUGCUAUCUUAAACCCGCUCUGGAGCGCGCACACACCGC
rnacentral:rRNA from 1 species